rnacentral:rRNA from 1 species
UUCCGGUUGAUCCUGCCGGAGGCCACUGCUAUGGGGGUCCGACUAAGCCAUGCGAGUCAUGGGGCGCCUUGCGCGCACCGGCGGACGGCUCAGUAACACGUCGGUAACCUACCCUCGGGAGGGGGAUAACCCCGGGAAACUGGGGCUAAUCCCCCAUAGGCCUGAGGUACUGGAAGGUCCUCAGGCCGAAAGGGGCUCUGCCCGCCCGAGGAUGGGCCGGCGGCCGAUUAGGUAGUUGGUGGGGUAACGGCCCACCAAGCCGAAGAUCGGUACGGGCCAUGAGAGUGGGAGCCCGGAGAUGGACACUGAGACACGGGUCCAGGCCCUACGGGGCGCAGCAGGAGCGAAACCUCCGCAAUGCGGGCAACCGCGACGGGGGGACCCCCAGUGCCGUGGCAUCGCCACGGCUUUUCCGGAGUGUAAAAAGCUCCGGGAAUAAGGGCUGGGCAAGGCCGGUGGCAGCCGCCGCGGUAAUACCGGCGGCCCGAGUGGUGGCCGCUAUUAUUGGGCCUAAAGCGUCCGUAGCCGGGCCCGUAAGUCCCUGGCGAAAUCCCACGGCUCAACCGUGGGGCUUGCUGGGGAUACUGCGGGCCUUGGGACCGGGAGAGGCCGGGGGUACCCCUGGGGUAGGGGUGAAAUCCUAUAAUCCCAGGGGGACCGCCAGUGGCGAAGGCGCCCGGCUGGAACGGGUCCGACGGUGAGGGACGAAGGCCAGGGGAGCGAACCGGAUUAGAUACCCGGGUAGUCCUGGCUGUAAAGGAUGCGGGCUAGGUGUCGGGCGAGCUUCGAGCUCGCCCGGUGCCGAAGGGAAGCCGUUAAGCCCGCCGCCUGGGGAGUACGGCCGCAAGGCUGAAACUUAAAGGAAUUGGCGGGGGAGCACUACAAGGGGUGGAGCGUGCGGUUUAAUUGGAAUCAACGCCGGA